UACGAAGGGGAGCGAGCGUUGUUCGGAUUUACUGGGCGUAAAGCGUGUGUAGGUGGUUGUCAUAGUCAGGUGUGAAAGCCUUGAGCUCAACUCAAGAAAUGCACUUGAUACUGGGCAGCUAGAGGACCGGAGAGGAUAGUGGAAUUCCCAGUGUAGUGGUGAAAUACGUAGAGAUUGGGAAGAACACCAGUGGCGAAGGCGGCUAUCUGGACGGUUUCUGACACUAAGACACGAAAGCGUGGGGAGCAAACAGG
rnacentral:rRNA from 1 species